UCAGUAUCUUCCCUUUGAAAGCUAUAAAACACAUAAGCGACAUAAGAACUCGAACUUAUUUUAUUUACGAGCAGAAAAUGAACAAAGCUUUACUUAUCGUGUUGGUGUUUGGUCUUCUGUUGUGUGCGCACACUGCAGAGGGGUGGCGGCGACGAGGAGGAGGAAAAGCCGCACCUGAUCCAGCAACUGGUGCUGGUGGCAAAGCAGACGCGAUACGAGAAGCUGUAGAAAGGAUGAAUGAAUAUAUGGAGGAAGUCCCGAUUUAAAUAUCAUCGUCCAUACGUUGUGUUGGAAGCUAAACUACGAAAAUAAUAAACGACUUCCAACCUUGAA